rnacentral:rRNA from 1 species
GAUGAACGCUAGCGGCAGGCUUAAUACAUGCAAGUCAAGGGGGUAGCAAUACAACCGGCGCACGGGUGAGUAACGCGUACACAACAUACCAUAUACUGGGGUAUAGCUUCGGGAAACUGAAGGUAAUCCCCCAUAAUAUUGCGGGAAGGCAUCUUUCUGCAAUUAAAGUUUCGCGGUAUAUGAUUGGUGUGCGUUUGGAUUAGCUAGUUGGUAGGGUAACGGCCUACCAAGGCGACGAUCAAUAGCUGGCGUGAGAGCGCGACCAGCCACACUGGAACUGAGGACACGGUCCAGACUCCUACGGGAGGCAGCAGUA